rnacentral:siRNA from 1 species
AACUGAGAUUUUCCCGUCGCCGU